rnacentral:rRNA from 1 species
AACGAACGCUGGCGGCAUGCCUAACACAUGCAAGUCGAACGAGACCUUCGGGUCUAGUGGCGCACGGGUGCGUAACGCGUGGGAACCUGCCCUUAGGUUCGGAAUACCUCCCCGAAAGGGGUGCUAAUACAGGAUAAUGUCUUCGGACCAAAGAUUUAUCGCCUUUGGAUGGGCCCGCGUUGGAUUAGCUAGUUGGUAGGGUAAAAGCCUACCAAGGCGACGAUCCAUAGCUGGUCUGAGAGGAUGAUCAGCCACACUGGGACUGAGACACGGCCCAGACUCCGACGGGAGGCAGCAGUGGGGAAUAUUGGACGAUGGGCGAAAGCCUGAUCCAGCAAUGCCACGUGAGUGAUGAAGGCCUUAGGGUUGUAAAGCUCUUUUACCCGGGAUGAUAAUGACAGUACCGGGAGAAUAAGCUCCGGCUAACUCCGUG